rnacentral:misc_RNA from 1 species
CUGAUACCUACGGACUUACAUAUCCCUAAUUAGUCAAUUGAAAAAGCAACAGGACGCAAUUGUACUUCUCCAGCAACUGCAAGGGUGGAGAAUUUUCAUGAUGCAGUAACUAAGGGACCCUCACCACUUCUUUUAUUAAAAGAAAACAAAUAUAGUCUAAAGCAGACCACAUCGAUGUAAAUAAAUAGAUAAUGGAAAUUUGGUUCAGAAAAUGACCAAACAAGCAAGAUGAUGGUCAUGCCAAAUCCUUAUUCUAUUGACAUUGAACAAAUGGAAAUGCCAUUAAUACAAGGAUUUGUCAACUGAAAGUGCAAAGUAAUUGAAACAAGUUGACAAAAGAUUGACACAGAUUUGUCCAAGAACACCAAUCCCCAUGCAGAUGAUUAAUAUUGAAAAUAAGAGCACCAUUACUCUAAUGAUGAUGAUCCUGCACAUAGCGUAGACCACAAUACUUGCAGACGGCUGGUUCCUUCAAGUCAAGGCAUAUGAACUCAAUAGGAUGCCCGAGUGCAGGAUUAGUGUCUCCUUCGCAUGCAACAAUCCUGCCUUCAACCUUGAUGGGGGGAAUUUCAUUGAUCAACUCCAUUGGAGAUUUCUUGCUAGCAUCCUGCAUCCAUUUGGCAGUAUGGUUGCUAAUUUGACUGGUGACAAGGCUAAAACUUCUGGCGUUCCAACCCAAAUUGGAGGAUCUCGUUAGGGUUCUCAACAAAGUCGAAGCCAUUGUUGGCUGCCACCUGCAAUUUUCGAAGAGAGAGAUUAAAUUUAGAAAUUAGAAGAGAAA